AAAACAUGUCUUUUUGAUAAAAAUUUAAAGUCAGGUCUGCUCACUGAAUUAUUUAAAGAGCCGCAGUAUAUUGACUGUGCAAAGGUAGCAUAAUCAAUAGUUUUUUAAUUGGAAACUAGAAUGAAAGAUUAGACGAAAAAUUAAUUUUCUUUGUUUUAAUAAAUUUAAUUUUAAAUUUAAGUGAAAAUGCUUAAAUAUAAUUAAAAGACGAGAAGACCCUAUAGAUUUUUAUUAUUGAAAUGAAUUUUUAAAUUUAAUUUAAUAAAAUAAUUUAAUUGGGGCGAUUUUAUAAUAUAAAUAACUUAAUUUUUUUUAACCAUAAAUAAUUGAAUAUUUGAUCUAAAAUUUUUAAAGAAAAGAUUAAAUUACCUUAGGGAUAACAGCGUAAUUUUAUUUAAGAGUUCAUAUCUAUAAUAAAGUUUGCGACCUCGAUGUUGAAUUAAGAUAAUAUAUUGGAGUAGAAAUUAAUAUAAUUAGUCGUUC
rnacentral:rRNA from 1 species